rnacentral:lncRNA from 1 species
CCUGCCGUCAGGGUGCCUGCGUCGCUGACGAUUUCACCGCCUCAAAACUCCAUCGAUAUAUCCAUGGCUACAAAGAUACGAUCUCCACAGCUUCGCUUCGGAAAACAUACGGAAGAAGCGAAAUGAAGAAGGGGAUGACUUGAGAUAUCAGUGUGAUGGACUAAUUCUCAUUUUCAGUUCCUUAAAUGUACUUUCUUAUCAAAUACUUGCCGGUGCUAGUCUAUUAACUCGAUAGCCAUCUUGGAGAAAUGGUAGAGAAUCACCAGGCAAGGUAAACUAUUUGAGUAAUUUCAACGUUUUAAGGAAUUUGUUUGGUGGUUUGUGCCUCUGUUGUGCCAGUUUACUCAUCUUCUCUACUCUUCAUCUUACCCAUUACGAUGCGGAGCACGUAACACAAGAGCAUAUGAUAAGCUGCUUAAGGGGGGAGGGAUUAGUGAAAGCUCUGAAUUUCUCAAAGCCAUGGAAAGACGGUUAGUGUAAUAGUACUCCUUAGUAGAACCUCUAUUUCAAAAGUACAAGUUAUGGAUUUUGUUGUCAAAUGGGUUGGAAGGGUAUGCUAGAUGUGCCUUAGGUUUAUGAAAAUGGUUAAAACCUCUUUGUUCCUAGCUUUUCAGAUAAGUCUGCUGGGCAAGAGAGCUGCAAAUCUCAUAGGAGAAACUUCUCCAAAGUCUUAAAUUUCAUUUUCUAUGAGCUCCAGAAGAUUGGUUUUUGAACCCUUAGAUGUCCAGGAAAGAAAAAUUGCAAUAAUCCCUGCUGCAUACAUUUAGGAUCUUGUCUCAUAGUGUCCAGCCCGAAGAUUAUCAUUCGAUAGGAGUUGUAGUGCUGGAGCAACAAAUUUUGCACCACUUAGUAUAACUCCUACUGGUGUAUGCUACAGAGUAUCUACAUGACAAGUUUGUCUAGCAUUGCUUAAUUUCCUCUUUAUUUUAGCUAAACUUUACUCACUUGCCAUAUUCUGUCUCUGGUUAGGCAACAUCAAGCUGCAGUAUUAUUACUUCCCAACUUCUUUGUUUUCUAAUUCUUCAUAUUUGCAAGUAUUUUCAAUGUUUAUAGUUUAUGAGUUGCCAAUAACUCCUUUGUAGCACUUUGGCUAGGGUUAGAUAUGUAUGUAUUAUAUUGUGUACUAACUCUCACAGAUUAAGUAGGAGAAUACUCGUCUUCUAAACUUAUAUGGUAUCAGAAUUUAG